AGGGCUGCAAGCAGGGCCGCUCAGUUGGAGCAAGUGAGGGAGCCCAGGCUGCCGUGGCCCUGCCCAUCAAAUGCCCAGAAAGAAGGCUUGAGGUAGAAAGGAAUAGGACAGUUCAGUGACGAAGCCCCAGCUCAGCUCACAUUAGACUCUCCAGAGCCCUUCGUGUGCUCUGUCCUACGUCGGCUUGGCACGGGGAAGGCCUCUUGUCUCUGAAAGUAACUGCUUUGUCCAUUCCAACGAAGACCUGCAUCUUGGUGACGGGAAAUGACUGGUUCUGUUUUCUUGCAGUCCAACUUUAGCAAGGAAGAUGGCGCUUAAAGCAGGGGGCGGAUUCCAGGCUGCACCCCGGUAGGAGUCUCUGCCGAGCUCUGCCAAAGGCAAGUGAGCUGAGCAGAGUGACUAAGUCAACCGGAGAGCAGGGCACCAGCCAACCUUCCCCUCCUCGGAGCCCCCACUGCCAGUCCCGAGACCUGUACCUCGGAUCUCAGCAAUGAAAAAUCCUACUUGACUUAAAAGUAUAAAUAAAUGUAUGCUAAACGUU
ensembl:antisense Gm29508 predicted gene 29508